rnacentral:rRNA from 1 species
UAACGACUCUCGGCAACGGAUAUCUCGGCUCUCGCAUCGAUGAAGAACGUAGCGAAAUGCGAUACUUGGUGUGAAUUGCAGAAUCCCGCGAAUCCCAUCUGGUCGAGGGCACGUCUGCCUGGGUGUCACGC